GUUUAUGUUUUUACAAUUUUUUUUUUUUUUAAAUGUACUUGCUCAGUUGGUACGCACCAACAUUCAAAACAACAACAACCACAAUGCACUGCGUUUAGGGUGUGUCGUAAAAUUUGGUCCGGUAAGAAAAGAGGAGAGGAAAGUUUUUAGCAAACAACAAAACACGUCUUUCAAGUAGCUCGCUGUUUGUAAGAACAUCUGAUUUCGGUUUGGCCAUUGGUUUUCGUUCUACACGGGACUGUGAAAUCCGUAGAGUUGAUCUGCCACAUAACUCACCGUUGACAGAUAGCUGGCGAGCCUAGUAACAUAGAUGGUAAAAACACUGAACUUAGAUACAGCAGAGAUGGUAUCAAUCAGCCCAGUGGACUCCGAUCCGGUACUCGGGAUCAACGUUGUGGUGAAGGAUGAAGACGGAGAGGUAGUGGAUUAUUUAGCGGAACCAAGGCUGUCCUGCUGUGUGAAAGAGGAACAAGAAGAGGUACCGUGUCAGCUAGAAGAACACAAAGACCCUUUACCACCGCCAGCUGUCCUGCCAGGUACCACAAUUCCUUGUGUUUUCCUGGGAGAUGCAGCUUUCCCUCCACAUGAGAACCUCGUGCGCCGGAUCCAGGUGUCUCAAUAAACCUGGGUGUACCUUGAAUCUUCACCACUCUCGUUCUCGCAGGCAGAGAAUGCAUUCGGCAUUAUGGCUUCGAUGGGGAUUCUUGGUCGUCCAAUCGAGUGUACCCCUGAAAAGGCUAAGGACGUGUGACCCUCCACAACUACCUUUCUUCCAUAGAUGAAGCUCAUCAGCCAAACAGAAAUUACCAAAAAUAUGUGGACACCUGCUGGUCCAACAUCUCAUUCCAAAAUCAUGGACAUUAAUAUUAAUAUGGAGUUGUCCCCCUUCUGGGAAGGCUUUCCACUAGAUGUUGGAACAUUGCUGCUAUAACAGCCUCCACUCUUCUGGGAAGGCUUUCCACUAGAUGUUGGAACAUUGCUGCUAUAACAGCCUCCACUCUUCUGGGAAGGCUUUCCACUAGAUGUUGGAACAUUGCUGCUAUAACAGCCUCCACUCUUCUGGGAAGGCUUUCCACUAGAUGUUGGAACAUUGCUGCUAUAACAGCCUCCACUCUUCUGGGAAGGCUUUCCACUAGAUGUUGGAACAUUGCUGCUAUAACAGCCUCCACUCUUCUGGGAAGACAUUCCACUAGAUGUUGGAACAUUGCUGCUAUAACAGCCUCCACUCUUCUGGGAAGGCUUUCCACUAGAUGUUGGAACAUUGCUGCUAUAACAGCCUCCACUCUUCUGGGAAGGCUUUCCACUAGAUGUUGGAACAUUGCUGCUAUUACAGCCUCCACUCUUCUGGGAAGGCUUUCCACUAGAUGUUGGAACAUUGCUGCUAUAACAGCCUCCACUCUUCUGGGAAGGCUUUCCACUAGAUGUUGGAACAUUGCUGCGGGGAUUUGCUUCCAUUCAGCCACAAGCAUUAGUGAGGUCGGACACUGAUGUUGGGCGAUUAGGCCUGGCUUGCAGUCAGCAUUCCAAUUCAUCACAUUUGCUGACAACCCGCCAACCCCCCCCAGGACAUUGCCAUGGCAAGAAGCCAGGGUUAGAAGAGGACAACGCAACCCAAAGCCAGCCAAUCAGAACAGGCCUUUGUUUUGCCUGCUCACACACACCCCAAGAUGGACGCACUGUGAAUGAAAGUACUCUGUACUAAAAUGUAGAGUUUUAAUCUUGUUAAUAAAUUGAAACCUGAUUUUC